GAUGAACGCUGGCGGCGUGCCUAACACAUGCAAGUCGAACGGAGUCGUUUUGGAAAUCUCUUCGGAGAUGGAAUUCUCGACUUAGUGGCGGACGGGUGAGUAACGCGUGAGCAAUCUGCCUUUAAGGGGGGGAUAACAGUCGGAAACGGCUGCUAAUACCGCAUAAAGCAUUAAAUUCGCAUGUUUUUGAUGCCAAAGGAGCAAUCCGCUUUUAGAUGAGCUCGCGUCUGAUUAGCUAGUUGGCGGGGUAACGGCCCACCAAGGCGACGAUCAGUAGCCGGACUGAGAGGUUGAACGGCCACAUUGGGACUGAGACACGGCCCAGACUCCUACGGGAGGCAGCAGUGGGGAAUAUUGCGCAAUGGGGGAAACCCUGACGCAGCAACGCCGCGUGAUUGAAGAAGGCCUUCGGGUUGUAAAGAUCUUUAAUCAGGGACGAAACAAAUGACGGUACCUGAAGAAUAAGCUCCGGCUAACUACGUG
rnacentral:rRNA from 1 species